rnacentral:lncRNA from 1 species
GCAGCCUGACGAUCCGGCGUGGUGGUGGCGGCAGCAAGAAGCUUCUUCACUCCUGCACAGCAUGGCGGUGGAGGACUGGCAUUAUUAGGAGCUUGAAGAUAAGUAAGGCAUGGAGCCAAAUCACCGGAUACAGUUCCACAUGACAAAGCAGCUUCUGCCAUAAGCUUGAAGAUAAGUAAGGCAUGGAGCCAAAUCACCGGAUACAGUUCCACAUGACAAAGCAGCUUCUGCCAUAGGCGCAAUAACUACCAUGCACAUCACCAAAGCAACACAUGCUAAUUUCAUGCUUCUUGCCAUUUUUGUUUUCUUUGUUUUCUAUUCUUUUUCUUAGUUUGUUUGAAUGGUGUGUAAUGUCUUUGUGGGAGGGGGUUUAUAUAGAAAAUAAGAUAAGGUGUGAAGAUGAAUAGAGUGAUGAAUUUUUGGUGAAUGUGCAUCAAAAUUGGGUGGUAGUUGUGAGUUCAAUU